GAGAGAUUAUGAGUAAAUCGUGAAUUUAUACCUGUUACUUAAUUAUCCCUGAUCUCGUAUCGUUCGUUUGGCCAAUAUCUCUAUGUUAGUAGACUGUGUACAAGCAAGAGAGUACCAGUUCAACCUGUUACCUCGUCCAACACACAUCUCGGGACAUUUUUACUUGUGUUUCAACAGUUAACAAUGCAACUUCAAUUGACUUUGCACUCUCCAACUAAAGAGUGCAAUCAAAAUUUCUCCCUCUUAUUCUUUUGACUAAUACUCUACUAACAUAGAGAUAUUGGCCAAACGAACGAUACGAGAUCAGGGAUAAUUAAGUAACAGAUCACUUGAAAAGGGUCCAAAUCCAGGACCGAAACGUCGUUUUUAUAAUAAAUAAAGGCAUUGGCCAGUGUAGGUCGUUUAUGUAAAAUACUCAUCAUUGUUUUGAAUUGCUGGCGAUAUCAUAUUUACCCCAAAGUUAAAUCUGUAUGUUAAAAUUAUGGAAAAAUAAUUGUACUGGAGAAAAGAAAAAAUUUUUAUGCUAAUUUUAUCAUUAAUAAAUUUCUUUUCUAUUUAGACUCAUAUGAUACUGCCCGUAAGAAACUAAAAGAUGCUGAAAUUCACACAGAUAUAUGUACUGACUCUGAAUUAAGAGGGAAAGGAAAACGUCGAAGAAUAGCUAUUCAUAGAUAUGGUUUUGAUACUGAUGAAGAGAAUGACUACAGUUCAAAACAAACAGUAUACGAAGAUAAAAUUAAAUUAUCUAUUCCUAAACCUCCAAAGGAACUAACACAGUUUCAAUUCACUCAAAAAAACAAAGAUGCUACAAGAUCAUAUUUUUCAGAGGAACAGUCAACACAGAAAGACAAACAAAUGGUUUCAACGCAUGAACCAAUAAAAAAAAAGUGGGACUUUCCUAUUGUAGAAUCACUUUCAGAGUCAGAAAAAUCAGACAAGACAGAUAGAAAUGUUGCUCGGUUUCCUUCAAACAUGCAGACAUCAAAAGAGGAAUAAAAAAAAAUCCCUUUGUUGCAAAGUCACAUUUGCUGAAAUUAAAAUAUAUAGAUAAUGCUAGUUCAAGAGUUCAUGUCUUUAGAAAGAAAGAAAAACCAUCUGCCUCUACACCAGCAGCAUUUCUUAAAUCAUUACAUACAUAUAAAAAUACUUCAAGAGUUAGCAACUCAAAAAUGAAAGGCAAAGAUGUUUCUUCUAAAAUAAGCCCACUUCGUGAAUUAAUGGAUAAAAAUACUACUGUCACUUCUAAACAAUCUCAUGAAUCACUCGUACUUCAAUCAAGCUCAAAAUCAGCUUCAGAGAAUGAAUUAUCUUCAUUGGAAGAACUAAACUCCACAAGGAAUAUGUACAAAGUUAAUACUGCAAAUAUAGAACACAAUACUGAUAGAAACUUUGGUAAGUAAUUUCAAUGUAUAUGCAAAUUUU